AAAGUACUCCCUCCGUCCCAAAAUUCUUGUCUUAGAUUUGUCUAGAUACGGAUGUAUCAAGUCACAUUUUAGUAUUAGAUACAUCCAUAUCUAGACAAAUCUAAGACAAGAACUUUGGGAUGGAGGGAAUAGUUG
rnacentral:pre_miRNA from 1 species